CGCUGGCGGCGUGCUUAACACAUGCAAGUCGAACGGGAUCCAUCAGGCUUUGCUUGGUGGUGAGAGUGGCGAACGGGUGAGUAAUGCGUGACCGACCUGCCCCAUACACCGGAAUAGCUCCUGGAAACGGGUGGUAAUGCCGGAUGCUCCGACUCCUCGCAUGGGGUGUCGGGAAAGAUUUCAUCGGUAUGGGAUGGGGUCGCGUCCUAUCAGGUAGUCGGCGGGGUAACGGCCCACCGAGCCUACGACGGGUAGCCGGCCUGAGAGGGCGACCGGCCACAUUGGGACUGAGAUACGGCCCAGACUCCUACGGGAGGCAGCAGUGGGGAAUAUUGCACAAUGGGCGCAAGCCUGAUGCAGCGACGCCGCGUGCGGGAUGACGGCCUUCGGGUGUAAACCGCUUUUGAUCGGGAGCAAGCCUUCGGGUGAGUGUACCUUUCGAAUAAGCACCGGCUAACUACGUGCCAGCAGCCGCGG
rnacentral:rRNA from 1 species